rnacentral:rRNA from 1 species
CUUAGAGUUUGAUCCUGGCUCAGAUUGAACGCUGGCGGCAUGCUUUACACAUGCAAGUCGAACGGCAGCACGGGGGCAACCCUGGUGGCGAGUGGCGAACGGGUGAGUAAUGCAUCGGAACGUACCGUGUAAUGGGGGAUAACGAGUCGAAAGACUUGCUAAUACCGCAUACGCCCUGAGGGGGAAAGUGGGGGAUCGCAAGACCUCACGUUAUACGAGCGGCCGAUGCCGGAUUAGCUAGUUGGUAGGGUAAAGGCCUACCAAGGCGACGAUCCGUAGCUGGUCUGAGAGGACGACCAGCCACACUGGGACUGAGACACGGCCCAGACUCCUACGGGAGGCAGCAGUGGGGAAUUUUGGACAAUGGGGGCAACCCUGAUCCAGCCAUGCCGCGUGAGUGAAGAAGGCCUUCGGGUUGUAAAGCUCUUUCGGCCGGGACGAAAUCGCACAGGUUA